rnacentral:lncRNA from 1 species
GAACACAAAAUGGCGACACGUGGUUAGCAUUCGUCGCCAACGAGAAAUUGGGAGGAAGACAAACAUAAAGAUGAAGUGCUUAAUUCAAGGUCACACAAUGUCGGGGAUGGACCUCCAGAUUUCCUUACUGGUGAGACGUGGUCUUGUAACACAGUGGUUAAGAAUGUGACUUUGGAGCCAGCCUGCUAGGGGCUGAAUUCUGACUCAGCCAUUUACUAACUGUGUGACCUUAGGGAGGAGGACCUGGUUGAUAGAAGAAUUUAUCUCGUAGUCUUAACAUCCACUGUAAUUCCAAACUUUGAGGACGAUAGAGAUCAGUGGGCUUUGACUGCCCAGCAUGCAGUCUCCAUUCUUAGGUGGGUUCCCAAGCCUGUAAAAUGUAAGCCUUAUGCUGCUGAGGGCCAUCUUGCCACCCUGAGGGAAACGCUGCCUGAGAAUGAAACAAGCAUAAGUAAAAGCUGAGCUGUGAGAUGGAGCAAGAUGAAGGCCACAUGACAUCUUUGGAGCACCUGGAUCUAACUGUGCCUUAAGCUAGUCUAACCCUGAACAUUUCAUCAUUUCAUUGACAUGAGCCCAGGUUUUCUUUUUUUUUGGAUGGAGUCUUGCUCUGUCGCCCAGGCUGGAGUGCAGUAGCUCAAUCUCGGCUCACUGCAAGCUCCACCUCCCGGGUUCACGCCAUUCUCCUGCCUUAGCCUCCCAAGUAGCUGGGACAACAGGCGCCCACCACCACUCCCAGCUAAUUUUUUGUAUUUUUAGUAGAGACGGGGUUUUACCAUGUUAGCCGGGAUGGUCUUGAUCUCCUGACCUCAUGAUCCGCCCGCCUCGGCCUCCCAAAGUGCUGGGAUUACAGGUGUGAGCCACUGCACCCAGCCCUCAGGUUUUCCCUUUUUUUACCCCUCCUUUUGAAAAUUUGAUGUGGAAUUUUGCCACCUGCAGCCAGAAGAGUUUUAACUAAUCAGUGCCAUAAAUUUUAUAUAGUUCUCCUUGCAAAAUGUGGAUCAGCCUUUCUCAGCAAAUCCUUUGUCAUAAAGUGCUGAAUUGUAAGUUUGUCAUGAGAAUCACAUGAGAUCAUGCAUGUGAAGAACCUGGCAUUAUCCUCCUCAUAGAAAAAAACCAGUAAAUAUUAACUACAGGAAGCAAGGAAGGAGUGGGGUGAGGGGAAGAAGAAGGGGUACUGAUUUAAAAGAACCCUGGAGUCCUAAGGAUAAUCUAGGAACCCUCAGACCCAAUCCGAUACCCCUAUUCUAAAUGCUCCUAGUGCCCUGUACCUUCCCCUCAUAAGCCUUCAUUAUCAUUGUAAUGAUAUGUUUAUGUAAUAUUUUGAUUAAUGUCUCUCCUUCACUGACCUAGCAGUUCUAGCAGGGCAGUGAUUUUGCUGUGUUGCAUCCCCAGCACCUAGUCUGGUAUGUGGCAUUCAGCAUAUGUUUAUUGAAUGAAUGGCCAUGUGGUUAUUCAGAUCCUCCUUGAUUAUUGGGGUUAGGAUUGUGGCAGAAGUGGCAAAAUCAGGGAGAGUAGUCCCUGUCCCCUCUGUAUCUUAUACACUGCCCACACUCCCAACACACAUACACAUACAGAGAAUUUUGUCUCAAUUAGAUAAUUAACUUCUGCUUGGUUGUAAACCAAACCACUGGUUCUUAAACUUUCAUUGGAUCAUUUUAUUGAAGAAUUAAAUAGUGUGGUUCUGGCCUAAUGUCUGGAAAGCCUUGCAGAGGAGUGGAUUAGGUCUUUGUGAUAAACAGGCAGCCUUCCCUGCUCCUGUGUCUUUAUAAAAUCUAUUUAACUGGAGUAGUCCACCCUCCCUCAGGCUCUUACAGGAAUAUGUUGGAGGCUGUAGGAAGGUGGGAAACCGAGAGGGAAAGGACUGGGCCGCUGGAGACUUCACUCAUUCCCUAGCAAGAAACAAAAGCAGUAAAAGGUGGCCCGAGGACAACCUGAAGCUCACUCCUUCAGCACUUUUGGCUGGAGGUCACUUGUUGGAGCCCCACUCAGAGCUCAGCACACCACCCCACCAGCAGCCUCCUCCUCCCAGCUGAGGCUGCAUUUCAUCCCUUCCCCCAGCCUGCUUUCCCUGAGAUAGGGGAGUGUUUCCCAGGGCCCAUGUGACUUCCACUGGCAAGUGACGAUUACCAAUGGUUUACUAGUCAGUGAAACUACCAAAGGCUUUUGUGCUGUAGUAAUCCUUUUCCUGUUUAAAACUCUGGGGAUUUUCUAAUGUUGCCAAUAGUUUUUCAAGUCAGCAAUUACUGUGUGGAUUAUGUAAUGGCUCGGUAUUAAAAAUAGAAAAGAC